AUUACCCAAUCCCGACACAGGGAGGUAGUGACAAAAAAUAUCAAUACCGGGCGUAUAUGCGUCUGGUAAUUGGAAUGAGUACAAUUUAAAUCCCUUAACGAGGAUCAAUUGGAGGACAAGUCUGGUGCCAGCACCCGCGGUAAUUCCAGCUCCAAUAGCGUAUAUUCAAGUUGUUGCAGUUAAAAAGCUCGUAGUUGGAUUUCUGGUACGGUGCGCCUGACCCACAGUCGAAAGGCUCGUGAAGUGUCGGUGUGCGUCUGCCAUCCUUUGAGGAAGCUUAUCUCACUUCAGUGGGAGGUAGGUGAUCUCAAUCUUUUACUUUGAAAAAAUUAGAGUGUUUAAAGCAGGCUUGCGCCUUGAAUACAUUAGCAUGGAAUAAUAAUUUAGGACUUUUUUCCUAUUUUGUUGGUUUUAAGGAAUUAAGUAAUGAUUGAUAGGGAUAGUUGGGGGUGCUAGUAUUCAUCGGCCAGAGGUGAAAUUCUUGGAUUCGAUGAAGACUAACUUAUGCGAAAGCAUUCACCAAGGAUGUCUUCUUUAAUCAAGAACGAAAGUUGGGGGAUCGAAGACGAUCAGAUACCGUCGUAGUCUCAACCAUAAACUAUACCAAUUCAGGAUACGUAGAAGUUGCUUUUUCGACUCUAUGUGCACUGUAUGAGAAAUCAAAAUCUUUGGGUUCUGGGGGGAGUAUGGUCGCAAGGCUGAAACUUAAAGGAAUUGACGGAAGGGCACCACCAGGAGUGGAGCCUGCGGCUUAAUUUGACCCAACACGGGGAAACUUACCAGGUCCAGACAUAGUGAGGAUUGACAGAUUGAAGUUCUUUCUUGAUUCUAUGGGUGGUGGUGCAUGGCCGUUCUUAGUUGGUGGUGCGAAUUGUCUGGUUAAUUCCGUUAACGAACGAGACCUCGACCUACUAAAUAGUUUGACGUAGAUACGUCUAUGUACAAGCUUCUUAGAGGGACUGUCGGUUUGUAGCCGAAGGAAGUUCGAGGCAAUAACAGGUCUGUGAUGCCCUUAGAUGUUCUGGCCGCACGCGCGCUACACUGAUACGUUCAUCGAGCUUACAACCUUGAUUGAGAGGUCUGGGUAAUCUUUUCAAAACGUAUCGUGCUGGGGAUAGAUCAUCGUAAUUAUUGAUCUUCAACGAGGAAUUCCUAGUAAGCGCGAGUCAUCAACUCGCACUGAUUACGUCCCUGCCCUUUGUACACACCGCCCGUCGCUGCUACCGAUUGAAUGCAUUAGUGAGUGCUAGGGAUCGAGGCUUAAGCUGGGGCAACUUGGCUUUUGUUUUGAGAACUAUUACAAACUUGCGCAUUUAGAGGAAGCAAAAGUC
rnacentral:rRNA from 1 species